rnacentral:lncRNA from 1 species
AAACUAUCCUAUUUCCUGCUGAAAAUGAAAAGAAACGCUAAAUUAAGAUGUAAAUAAAACUUAAGUGAUAAUACUAGUACAAGAAGGAUUGCAAAAGUUCUAUUGAUUUUGCAACACUAUAAGAUCCAUCAUUUCACUUCAACCUUACUAAGUCAGAUCUUUAGUAAUUUGGUACUGUUAAUAAAAUAUUAAGCUUAAUAUGUCAGUGAUGUCUUGAAGGUGAGUUUGAACAUAUAUUCUCAUUUUUUGAUAAACUUUGUUAGCUGAUGACGUAGCACUUUGCAGUGUAUGUUAUAUUUAUUCAGUGUAUAGGAUUAUUUUUAAUUAUUAUCUAAAUGAAAAUUUUAGGUACAAAAGUCAAAUUUGGAAGAACUUCUUAAGAAGCACGAGGAAAUGGCUUUUGAGAUAAAAAAAAUCUGGACACCGACCUACAAACGUUAGUAUAUAAGAAUUACAACGAGUUCAUUAGUGCUACAAAUGCAAUCAAAAGGUAAUUCUUGUGCCGAUACAAAUUUUAACAAUGUUCGUAGUGAAUGUAAUUAUUCUUCUGACUGAAUAAACAUACAUGCUGAAAAUUUAGUAAUAGACGUCAUAACUGUUAAUCUUACAAACUUGUGAAGCACAAUAUUGAGAUGAUGCCUACUCUUUAUAUAACGUUAAACUUUUCCCUUGUUUGGUGCAUUUAUUAUUUCUUUUUGUCAAUCUCAUUUGUUUUCUCUGAUUUUCUAGGAUGAAAAAUAAUAUAAACAGUAUGGAAGAAAACAUGGAUCAGCUUAACGAAAAAGGUGUUUGGCAAGGGUCUUUUUGGUUACUAUCAAUUGUAGUUUCAAAAUAAAUUGAGAAAAAAAGAAGACAGGAUGAAAACUUGUUCAAAACAAAAUUAAUCGUAACUGUUGCAGAUUCUGUCCGUGCAAUCUAGGAGUGAUGGGGUCAAUACUACUCUUUUUGCCAAAAGAGAGCAUGUAGAGAAGCUGCAUUGCACACGGAAUUUGUUGCCAAAAGUUCAGGUAAUGUAAUGAAUACCAAUCUGUCUUUAUGUUGAAUUUCCUGCUACAAGAUAGCCCAUUGUUAACUUUGGCAAAAUAAAGAAAGGGUUGAGCGGUAUGAUUAAAUUAGGGAAGAAGCGUCUUCCUGUUAUGAGCUGCUCUGAAUUUGAAAAUUUGCAUGAUUGAAGAAUAUAAUUUCAACAUUGUCAUUUUCUUUGAACUUGUGAUUGUUUCCACCAUUGAAGAUAGAUUUUUUCAUGUUUUAUAAUCCUGUAAAUUCUGCACGCAUGAGUUAACACAUAUUUCAUCUUGUGUGAAAAGAGCAAUUUAUUUAUGGUCUACCGACAAGACUUGAGAAGUGUGUCAAAUCUAAAGCCUUUUUCGAUGCUGUCAAGUUCUACACUGGAGCCAUGCCAAUUUUCAAGGUCGAUAUCUUCUUAAUGAAUGGGAAAGUUUGAAUUUACCCAUUUUCUGAGCCCAUCAUUGGUAGCAAUGACGAUGAACUUCUAUUUUUUAAAUAAAAGUUUGUUCUUUCUAACCCAUUCUUUGUCAUUAUUACCAGAAAUAUGGGAACUCUUCCUUCUAGGAUUGUAGAUGAGCAUCAAAAGAAGUAGUGGAGAUAAUUAUAAUAAAAUUGCAGGCAUGACCUCUUCUGCUUUAGUGCUUGGCAGUGAAUGAAGCAUGCAUCAUUAAAAAUGGAAUCCUUAUUGAAAGAGUUAUCUGGAUGAAAUAUAUCCAGAGUCUAAAUGAUGAUCAGCUGAGAUUGUGAUAAGAGUAGUGAUGGAUUCAAAUUCAAUAAAAAGUACUACACCAAUGUGACCGAAUGUCAGUUAUAAAAUCUUGUCAAAGAAAAAAAAUGUUCCAAUGACUAAAUACAAACUUUAAUUUGAUUGACGGUCUCCAUGAGUAAAAAAAGAUACAUGUCAUAAUCAUAAUAUGAAAGAAAGAAAGAAUUGUGGAUAUUUAUUUUGUCAAUUUUGAGAACUUCAGUUUCUACAAACAUAAAUGAUGGAGUUGUUUACCACGUGUGUAAAAGUGUGGCAUGGAUUAGUACUCAUGAACCAAAACAUCUUAUCAGCUUAGAGAAAGAUAGGAAACUUUUGGUUGUUGGUGUUCUGUGUUAGAACCUUGGAAUCCUAUUGAUAUAGAUGACAAUAGAUUUUUCACCAUCCUCUGUCAGUAUAUAAAUGAUAUAAAAUGGCUGCAUAAUCGUAUAGUCUUGUUUCAAAUGAACAGAAAAACAACUCCACGUGCUUUUCACAAUAAGUGUUUCAAAUGGAAGAUAGGAACCGUCUCAAAGAUUGGUGUCUUUUACAAUGAAAUUCUGUUAAUUAGUAAGAAUGAUAUUCUAUAUUUUCUACUAUUGUUUUCCAGGGAAGGUAUUUUUGGAUUCUGAGUCCAUACGAGCAAGAGUUGAGGCUGUGAUGCUUCUUAAUCAGUUAAAUUUCCUGAUUUGUAUUUCACUUAUGUUUAUUUUCUAAUGAUCUAUAAAUAGAAGCAAAUAUGCAUCUAGUCAAGAAUGAUUAGAACUUGCAGACUUUAAGUGUGGAGAGUUAGUGGUAAUCCCAGGUGAUCCCUGAAUUUUGUUUGUCAAAGUCAGCCAUUCACAAUUGUGGAAAACAAUAUUUUAUGUCUGUUGUUUUUUUCCUAUAAUAUUGUUCACUUUUUGAUAGUUUUCCCUUCUCUGGCAAGUUGAGAAUCUGAAGCUUAAAUUGUUUGAGAAGUUGGAACAGUUCCUAUUGGAUUCGCAUUUUGAAUCUAAGAACCUAAAAGAUGCUUCAGCAGAUGAUGAACUUCCUAACCAAGGAAAAGUCAAUGUUUCAACUUUUCUUGCUGCUCAUGAAGUAAAGAAUGAACCUAUUUUCCCCCUUUUUAAAGUAAAAAGCAACAAAUGUAUAGAUAUUGAUUGUUGGAAUAAAAACUUGUAUGCGUUAAUAUUUGCCCUUCAUAGAUCACUUGUGGAUGGUGUGUACAUGUGAAUAAGUCACAGUGAUGUGUAAUUGUCUCACUGAGCAUUUCAUUUAUGAUGAAAUUAUUUUACCUAGUAUUUUAUUGAGGCACUCAAAUAAUUAUGUUUCAAGUUUAUCCCGGAGUUCAAAUCCCAGAUUUUCUAGCCUAACUAUUUUACUUUUGUUGCAUACAAUAAAAUAUGUUCUUUUAUUUUGUUUAUCCAGUGUAUCACAUUUCAAAUUACAUUUGUCACUAUUCGUGAAUUUGCGGAAGCUCUUCGUGCUUAUAGAAUGAUCUUUUCGCAUUCAGA